rnacentral:lncRNA from 1 species
UUUAAUCGGUUAAAAAAAAAGGUUUAGCCAUAAAGAUUCCGGUUAAAGAGAGUUCUAACGUGGGGGGCGACGGCAUAUAAUUACCUUAAAAGGGGGUGCCCUCCCUGAGACUUCCUCAGUCAUAGUUUUCUGCUUGAUAGACUAACUAAUUACUAAAAAGAAUUGCCAGAUCAACCAUCAAUCGUUCCUUAUGAUUCUAGGGGUUUAGGAUAGGAAGAGGGCUAAGCUCAACUCAAAGA